UUAUAGGAGGCCCAACCCAUUAACAUAGCAAAAACUCAAAAUAAACUAACUAGUUUAAUGAGAGGCAGGGGAUUGCACGGUCUAGGGCGUGCCAAUGCGCACGGGUGUGCCUCAAUGUUAAGCUUCCUUCGUGAGAGGCAGAGGAGUGCACGGUUUAGGGCGUGCUAGUUGGCAUGGGCGUGCGCGCAUGUAUGAGUGUUCCUUGCGAGAGGCAGAGGCUUGCACGGUCUGGGGCGUGCUAGUUGGCACGGGCGUGCUUCAAAUCAAGUGUUGUUCUUUGAGAGGCAGAAGCUUGCACGGCCUGGGGCGUGCUACCUUGCACAGGCGUGCUACCUUGCACGGGCGUGCUAACCAAGCACAGUUUAGGCAUUUCAAGUGAUGGAAAUUCA
rnacentral:lncRNA from 1 species